rnacentral:rRNA from 1 species
GACGAACGCUGGCGGCGUGCUUAACACAUGCAAGUCGAACGGAAAGGCCCUGCUUUUGUGGGGUGCUCGAGUGGCGAACGGGUGAGUAACACGUGAGUAACCUGCCCUUGACUUUGGGAUAACUUCAGGAAACUGGGGCUAAUACCGGAUAGGAGCUCCUGCUGCAUGGUGGGGGUUGGAAAGUUUCGGCGGUUGGGGAUGGACUCGCGGCUUAUCAGCUUGUUGGUGGGGUAGUGGCUUACCAAGGCUUUGACGGGUAGCCGGCCUGAGAGGGUGACCGGCCACAUUGGGACUGAGAUACGGACCAGACUCCUACGGGAGGCAGCAGUGGGGAGUAUUGCACAAUGGGCGGAAGCCUGAUGCAGCAACGCCGCGUGCGGGAUGACGGCCUUCGGGUUGUAAACCGCUUUCGCCUGUGACGAAGAGUGAGUGACGGUAAUGGGUAAAGAAGCACCGGCUAACUACGUG